UGGGAAACUGCCCGAUGGAGGGGGAUAACUACUGGAAACGGUAGCUAAUACCGCAUAACGUCGCAAGACCAAAGAGGGGGACCUUAGGGCCUCUUGCCAUCGGAUGUGCCCAGAUGGGAUUAGCUAGUAGGUGGGGUAAUGGCUCACCUAGGCGACGAUCCCUAGCUGGUCUGAGAGGAUGACCAGCCACACUGGAACUGAGACACGGUCCAG
rnacentral:rRNA from 1 species